AUAUUGGAAAUUGGAUACGUAAAAUAUAUAUAUAUAUAUAUAUAUAUAUAUAUAUACACAUAUAUAAUUAUAUAUAUUUAAAUUGAUAUAUAAUACAUAAAUCUGUAUAAAUGUAUAUUUUAUAUCCAUUUCAACAGAAAAUAUCUGUGCACAGACAGACGAUAUAAGUGAAAUAGAUGUGUAAAUGGUCAGUUUCACUGCCAGCAAAUGCGGACAGAGGAGCUUGAUGCUGUCCUUGGACACAUUGGAUCAUGUCAAACCAUCCAUCCCAUGGAUGGUAAAUGAUGAUUGUGUAGGUGUGUGUGUGUGUGUAUGCACGUAGACACAAAUAUAUAGAUACACGAUAUAUUUAUAUAAUUUUGCUUCCCCCCCCCCGCCCCAUCAUUAUCCCCAAUCUAAUGAGGAGGAAGACAGGACACUGACCUUUGACCUCCUUUAAGACAUUGAAAUGAUUCAUUUCUAAGUCCCACGUUUGUAAAUCUGUGUCCGAGAGAGACAGGGAGCAGAUUAGGACAAGUAGGACGGAGCCUGUUGGUAGGUGCUGUGCCUUUGGGGACAGAACGCAACACAAGGGCUGAGCUUAAGGCUUGGGUAGCAAUAGAUCGAUAGGUAUGGAGCUUGUAGGGGCCUGUUGGUAGGUGCUGUGCCUUUGGGGACAGAACGCAACACAAGGGCUGAGCUUAAGGCUUGGGUAGCAAUAGAUGGAUAGGUAUGGAGCUUGUAGGGGCGAAGCUGGUGUUGUAGGUAACUGUGACAUCGAUGUAGCAUUGUAGCAGGUUAGAUUUUUUAAGUGGCAGCGACAGGUAGCAAGAGGAAUGAGUGUGUGUGUGUGUGUAUACACACCUGAGUACAGGUAUGAGGUUUAUUUUGCUGCUUCCUGAUUUCCACCCUUCUUGUUCGUUACACUGAAAUGGAGAUGAUGAUGAUGAUGAUAUAUAUAAAUAUCUGUAUAUAAUUAUAUAUAAUGCUUGCAAGGCUCAGGUGGAAUUUGUCCGUGCCGUAGAAAGUCUGCCUGACCAAAUAUUCUCUGCCCGAUGCAAGCAAAAUGAAAGUGAACACUAAAUGAUGAUGAUGAUGAUGAUGAUGUGUGUGUGCAGACAACCUUUUAGUUUUUGUUUUUUUUUAGUCAUUUGGGGUAUGACACAUGACUGUGAAGAUGGUCUCCCAGCACUUCCAUGGAUUCCCUACAUGUGAAGGUACACAGGGAAUGUAGCGAGGGCAGCGGAGAUCCACAUUGGACACUCACCUAUGCUGUUGUGUUGUCUGUGUCUUCAGACAUGAAUUCACUCCCCCCCACACACACACAUCCACACACAUCUUCGUACACAUCUGUUUUAUUGAAGCUGGAAACAUCAGAAAC